rnacentral:tRNA from 1 species
UCCCUGGUGGCUCAGAGGGUAAAGCAUCUGCCUACAAAGCGGGAGACCUGGGUUCGAUCCCUGGGUUGGGAA